CAGGAUGAUCCCGUAUGCAAACACGUCCACCUGCAGAAGAAAGAAGUGUGGAUCAGAGAGAGAGUACACACAGACGUGAAGUCCAAACAGACAGUCUGCAGAACCUCUCAAAUAUAAUCAUCAUGUCCAAAAUGAAACCCAAACAGGCCAUCAUGAUUCCCGCUUAGCUGUACAGGAAAAACAGCAGCAACAAAAGGUCUCUGGUUUUAUUUGCUUUCAUCACACCCACACUGGACCUUGAACUCUUGCAGCUGAAGGCUAAUGAGGAAGACGCUCCGUCACUACCU